rnacentral:lncRNA from 1 species
AGAGAUCCCUCCUUGGUGAAUCUCUCCCCUACAAACCUAGAAUCUUCUGAUAUGGCAAGCCUGCAAUUAUUGCUGCAUCUGAAGGUCAAUUCUUUGGCAUUACUGCAACACGUUCCAAACAGCUGAUGUCAGCAUUCCUUCCUAUGGAGCCUGACACUGGAUUGGUAACUGAAAUGAAGAAGUAAAAAAAGGCAGCUGGCAAAGUCAGCACCUAGCACAACAGCAGAGCUGAAC